UUUCAAUAUAGUAAAGAAUUUGGCACAAACAGCAUUACUAAUCUUUAAACCAUAUUUGGUAGAGUUCACAGAAAGAAUGGCAAUAUUUUCCCAAUAACAGAACUUUUGCUUCAUUGAUUUGCCCGUCCAAUCAGAGAGACUGAGGGGGAAAUGACACCCAGCUGAAGUUAUUU